UCGACAAUUCCCCAAACGCUUCCGGGUAGCGUGCAAGUUCGCUACUGAAGGUUUUGGUCGGACGACACUGAGCGAGCCCCGCGGUGGUACAUUGAGAAGACUGGUCGAGGUCUUGGUUGUGAGACGCCCGAGAGCCAAUUGUCAGUUUGUUCUGUCGGUGCUGCAUGAAGGGUGUUGCAGCUGUCUACGGGGCAGGUCGCCGGAGGCCUCUUCGCGCACUGCAUGUCAUGUUGAGUGGUAACGUGCACCUCACCAUUGCUUUGAUACCUGUUUGCAGUGCUUGUGCCUAUGUGUGUUGUGUGCAGAGGUGUUUGUGUGUGAGUAGGCAUAAGAACCAAGAUCACGGGUGGUGUGUCGGUCUCACUCCCCUUUUCCAGGACAGGUAACCCCCUGUAACAGCUGCUCCCUAUGCCCCUUACUAUCCUGGUGGCAGCCAUUACCAACUCUCUCGCCAUCUUUCAACGAAGUCUAGCCAUGUAUUAAUAAAUACUGUUAGUUUUAUACUGGAAUACCUCGUCUCUGUCGUUACUGGAACGUACCUGGGUGAGAGCCCGCUUGUCUCUGUCGAAAGGUACAAUUCACACAACAAUAUAUCUUGGUGUGAAAGUCACCAGGUGGCGUAGUCGCAUCCAGAGCCAAGACCUAACUACCACUAGGUUACAUAUGCUUUCUGCCUCUCUUUCUGUUUCUUUGUCUCACUCUCCCUCCCUUUUUUUUCUUCUCUCCCUUUUUCUCUCU